ACGCUCGACACCUAGGGGGCAGCAGUGAGGGAUAUUGGUCAAUGGGGGAAACCCUGAACCAGCAACGCCGCGUGAGGGAUGACGGCCUGGUUGUAACCUCUGUCCUCUGUGAAGAUAAUGACGGUAGCAGAGGAGGAAGCUCCGGCUAACUACGUGCCAGCAGCCGCGGUAAUCUGAGGCGGGCGUGGCGAAGGC
rnacentral:rRNA from 1 species